CCAAUAGCGUAUAUUAAAGUUGUUGCAGUUAAAAAGCUCGUAGUUGAACUUCGGGAUCAAUUGAUUGGUCAUGCCUUGGUAUGUACUGUUCAUAUUGGUUCUCACCUUCUAAUGAACCAUAAUGUCAUUUAUUUGAUGUUAUGGGGAAUUAGGACUGUUACCUUGAAAAAAUUAGAGUGUUUAAAGCAGGCUCACGCUUGAAUACAUUAGCAUGGAAUAAUGAAAUAGGACAUCGCAUUCUAUUUUGUUGGUUUCUAGGAUCGAUGUAAUGUUUAAUAGGGAUAGUUGGGGGCAUUAGUAUUCAAUUGUCAGAGGUGAAAUUCUUGGAUUUAUUGAAGACUAACUACUGCGAAAGCAUUUGCCAAGGAUGUUUUCAUUAAUCAAGAACGAAAGUUAGGGGAUCGAAGACGAUCAGAUACCGUCGUAGUCUUAACCAUAAACUAUGCCGACUAGGGAUCGGAUGAUGUUGAUUUUUUAAUGACUCAUUCGGCACCUUACG
rnacentral:rRNA from 1 species